rnacentral:rRNA from 1 species
AUACGGGAGGCAGCAGUGGGGAAUCUUGCACAAUGGGGGAAACCCUGAUGCAGCGACGCCGCGUGAGCGAUGAAGCCCUUCGGGGUGUAAAGCUCUUUCGGCAGGGACGAAACAUGACGGUACCUGCAGAAGCAGCUGCGGCUAACUACGUGCCAGCAGCCGCGGUAAUACGUAGGCAGCGAGCGUUGUUCGGAGUUACUGGGCGUAAAGGGUGCGUAGGCGGUCCCUUAAGUUUGGUGUGAAAUCUCCCGGCUCAACUGGGAGGGUGCGCCGGAUACUGAGGGGCUAGAGUGCGGGAGAGGAAAGUGGAAUUCCUGGUGUAGCGGUGAAAUGCGUAGAUAUCAGGAGGAACACCGGUGGUGUAAACGGCUUUCUGGACCGUAACUGACGCUGAGGCACGAAAGCGUGGGGAGCAAACAGGAUUAGAUACCCCGGU